UGGGGUAGGUUUAGUACAUAGGCGCCAUGGAUGGUGAAUCAUGCAUACUGCUGGUACCGGCUGGUAGUAUCUUUGGAAGAUUCCUACCUCCA
rfam:Glossina brevipalpis unplaced genomic scaffold Scaffold69, whole genome shotgun sequence.